rnacentral:rRNA from 1 species
AUUGAACGCUGGCGGCAGGCCUAACACAUGCAAGUCGAGCGGAUGAGGAAAGCUUGCUUUUCGAUUCAGCGGCGGACGGGUGAGUAAUGCCUAGGAAUCUGCCUGUUAGUGGGGUAUAACUCGGGGAAACUCGGGCUAAUACCGCAUCCGUCCUACGGGAGAAAGUGGGGGAUCCUCGGACCGCACCGUAACAGAUGAGCCUGGGUGGGAUUAGCUAGGAGGUGAGGAAAUGGCCCACCUAAGCGACGAUCCGGAACUGGUCUGAGAGGAUGAUCAGUCACACUGGAACUGAGACACGGUCCAGACUCCUACGGGAGGCAGCAGUGGGGAAUAUUGGACAAUGGGCGAAAGCCUGAUCCAGCCAUGCCGCGUGUGUGAAGAAGGUCUUCGGAUUGUAAAGCACUUUAAGUUGGGAGGAAGGGUAUUCACCUAAUACGUGGGUACUUUGACGUUACCAACAGAAUAAGCACCGGCUAACUCUGUGCCAGCAGCCGCCGUAACAC